GACGAACGCUGGCGGCGUGCUUAACACAUGCAAGUCGAGCGGAAAGGCCCUUCGGGGUACUCGAGCGGCGAACGGGUGAGCAACACGUGAGUAACCUGCCUCUGGCUUUGGGAUAACCCUCGGAAACGGGGGCUAAUACCGGAUAUGACUGCUGGCCGCAUGGCUGGUGGUGGAAAGUUUUUUCGGCUGGGGAUGGGCUCGCGGCCUAUCAGCUUGUUGGUGGGGUGAUGGCCUACCAAGGCGGUGACGGGUAGCCGGCCUGAGAGGGCGACCGGCCACACUGGGACUGAGGCACGGCCCAGACUCCUACGGGAGGCAGCAGUGGGGAAUAUUGCACAAUGGGCGGAAGCCUGAUGCAGCGACGCCGCGUGAGGGAUGACGGCCUUCGGGUUGUAAACCUCUUUCGGCAGGGACGAAGCCUUCGGGUGACGGUACCUGUAGAAGAAGCGCCGGCCAACUACGUGCCAGCCGCCGCGGUAAAAC
rnacentral:rRNA from 1 species